GUGCUCACUUGGGUAGCACAUAUACUAAAACUGGAACAAUACAAAGGAGAUUAUCAUGGCCCCUGCACAAGGAUGACAAGCAAAUUCAUGAUGCAUUCCAUACUUUU